rnacentral:rRNA from 1 species
CACGUAGGGGGCAAGCGUUGUCCGGAUUUAUUGGGCGUAAAGAGCUUGUAGGUGGCUUAGUAAGUCGGGUGUGAAACCUCCAGGCUCAACCUGGAGACGCCACCCGAUACUGCUAUAGCUUGAGUCCGGUAGGGGAGCGUGGAAUUCCUGGUGUAGCGGUGAAAUGCGUAGAUAUCUGGAGGAACACCGGUGGCGAAGGCGGCCAUCUGGACCAGCACUGACGCUGAGGCACGAAAGCGUGGGGAGCAACAGG